AGCAGCCGCGGUAAUUCCAGCUCCAAUAGCGUAUAUUAAAGUUGUUGCGGUUAAAAAGCUCGUAGUUGGAUCUCGGCGAACAGGGGGCGGUUCGUUAUUUGACGGUACUGCCCCAUUUGUUCGUAUUUUUGCAAGAGGGUUGGGGGUCCCCUUCAUUGGGUGUCUCCGGUCGCUUGCAGGUUUACUUUGAAAAAAUUAGAGUGCUCAAAGCAGGCUUACACGCUUGAAUAUUCGUGCAUGGAAUAAUAGAAUAGGAAGUCGUUUCUAUUUUGUUGGUUUUCGGAAAAUGACUUAAUGAUUAAUAGGGACAAUCGGGGGCAUUAGUAUUCAAACGACAGAGGUGAAAUUCUUGGACCGUUUGAAGACUAACUACUGCGAAAGCAUUUGCCAAGAGUGUUUUCAUUAAUCAAGAACGAAAGUUAGAGGUUCGAAGGCGAUUAGAUACCGCCCUAGUUCUAACCAUAAACGAUGCCAGCUAGCGAUCUGCCUGCGUUUUUACUGUAGACUGGGCAGGAAGCUUCCGGGAAACCAAAGCAUUUGGGUUCCAGGGGAAGUAUGGUUGCAAAGCUGAAACUUAAAGGAAUUGACGGAAGGGCACCACCAGGAGUGGAGCCUGUGGCUUAAUUUGACUCAACACGGGAAAUCUCACCAGGCCCGGACACUGGAAGGAUUGACAGAUUGAUAGCUCUUUCUUGAUUCGGUGGGUGGUGGUGCAUGGCCGUUCUUAGUUGGUGGAGUGAUUUGUCUGGUUAAUUCCGAUAACGAACGAGACUCUGUCCUGCUAAAUAGUUUCUACUUCUCUUUUGAGUAGAAAUUUCUUCUUAGAGGGACUGGUGACUCUUAGUCACACGAGAUUGAGCAAUAACAGGUCUGUGAUGC
rnacentral:rRNA from 1 species